rnacentral:rRNA from 1 species
CAGCAGCCGCGGGAAUACGUAGGUGGCAAGCGUUGUCCGGAAUUAUUGGGCGUAAAGGGCUCGUAGGCGGUUUCUUAAGUCUGAUGUGAAAGCCCCCGGCUCAACCGGGGAGGGUCAUUGGAAACUGGGAAACUUGAGUGCAGAAGAGGAGAGUGGAAUUCCACGUGUAGCGGUGAAAUGCGUAGAGAUGUGGAGGAACACCAGUGGCGAAGGCGACUCUCUGGUCUGUAACUGACGCUGAGGAGCGAAAGCGUGGGGAGCGAACAGGAUUAGAUACCCCGGUAGUCCCUGUCUCUUAUAC